UAGUUCUGACCUGGGCCAUCUUGCGACUGGACCGACGCACUACAUCAUGCAUCAACAUUUGCACACAUCUGGCACCUUCGGUGUCCGAGUUGUAAUUUGAAGAAGGUAACUUUGGAGUUGGCUCUUGUCUAUGUUCCUUGGAACAGGACGUCACAGAGGGUGAGAAUCCCGUGCGAUGAGAUGCCCAAUUCUAUGUAAAGUGCUUUCGAAGAGUCGAGUUGUUUGGGAAUGCAGCUCUAAGUGGGUGGUAAAUUCCAUCUAAAGCUAAAUAUUGGCGAGAGACCGAUAGCGAACAAGUACAGUGAUGGAAAGAUGAAAAGAACUUUGAAAAGAGAGUGAAAAAGUACGUGAAAUUGUUGAAAGGGAAGGGCUUGAGAUCAGACUUGGUAUUUUGCGAUCCUUUCCUUCUUGGUUGGGUUCCUCGCAGCUUACUGGGCCAGCAUCGGUUUGGAUGGUAGGAUAAUGACUAAGGAAUGUGGCUCUACUUCGGUGGAGUGUUAUAGCCUUGGUUGAUACUGCCUGUCUAGACCGAGGACUGCGUCUUUGACUAGGAUGCUGGCAUAAUGAUCUUAAGCCACCCGUCUUGAAACACGGACACA
rnacentral:rRNA from 1 species